rnacentral:misc_RNA from 1 species
GGUAGGUUCCUUAUAGGGCGUAAACAUCCGCUAAGAACGGAUUUUACGAAAUUCGACCCCUAAGGGGAUAAAACGGGGGGUGGAAGUUUGUGUGAAAGCCCAAUUUUUUUAAAGUAAGAGACACGAAAUUUAAAAUGUACGUUCUUUAGAUGGUGAGAAGGUGACCAAAUAAUGUAUCUUUAGAAAUCAACUCUCUUUUGGAGUUAAAACGGGGGAUGGUAGGU